GAUGAACGCUGGCGGCGUGCCUAAUACAUGCAAGUCGAGCGAACAGAUGAGGAGCUUGCUCCUCUGACGUUAGCGGCGGACGGGUGAGUAACACGUGGAUAACCUACCUAUAAUACUGGGAUAACUUCGGGAAACCGGAGCUAAUACCGGAGAAUAUAUUGAAGCGCAUGGUUCAAUAGUGAAAGACGGUGUUGCUGUCACUUAUAGAUGGAUCCGCGCCGCAUUAGCUAGUUGGGAAGGUAACGGCUUACCAAGGCAACGAUGCGUAGCCGAACUGAGAGGGUGAUCGGCCACACUGGAAGUGGGACACGGUCAAGAGUACUAAGGGAGGCAGCAGUAGGGAAUCUUACGCAGUGGUGGAGAGCAUGACGGAGCAACGGCAAGUGAGUGACGACGGUGUUCGGAUCGUAAAAAUCUGUUAUUAGGGAAGAACCACUGUGUAAGUAAAUAUGCACGUCUUGACGGUACCUAAUCAGAAAGCCACGGCUAACUACGUG
rnacentral:rRNA from 1 species